AGAGCAAUCUUCAACUUACUCAGAUGUCUCUUGGUUCAUAUCUGUCAUCCCAUUAUUUGGAAGUACGGAAAACUGGAGUCUUCAUUCUAGAACUGCUGAAACUCUAGCAGCAAUAUCCAUCGUCACAUCAACACAUAAGGGAGAACACCACAUAGAAAUUGCCUAUUUGCAAUGAUAAUAUUGGGUGGUUAUAAAAGCAGCAAUGGAAGCAGAGAAUGGAUUCUGAUUACUGGAAGAUCAUAUCUUCAAGUUUUACCCAUUGGACCAAAUGAAGACACUGACUCCUUGGACUCAAGAGAGACAGCAAGAGAGGAAACACAAGCAGGGGAGUGGGAGAGGGAGAAGCAGGCUUCCCAUGGAGCAGGGAGCCCGAUGUGGGGCUCGAUCCCAGGACCCUGGGAUCAUGACCUGAGCCGAAAGCAGACGCUUAACAACUGAGCCACCCAGACGCCCCACAACGUGAGUUUUAAUAUAUGAUGAAGAUGAAGCAGCCACCUUGUAAACCCACAGGAAAGGACUCACUAUGGAUGACAGAGCAGAAAGAAGCAGCGUUGGUCUUAGUUGAUUGCACAGAGCUACGAAGCUAAUUGUCAGCUGCUUACCCUCUGGGGUUCUUUUAUGUGAAAGAAUAAAU